GUCUACGGCCAUGCUACCCUGAACAUGCCCAAUUCUGUCUGAUCUCGGAAGCUAAGCAGGUUCUGGCCUGGUUAGUACUUGGAUGGUAGACCACCUAGGAAGAGCAGGUGCCACAGGCG
rnacentral:rRNA from 1 species